rnacentral:lncRNA from 1 species
GAUACAUGGUAGCGUCCUCGGUCUAGCCGAGGUGACCGGGCAGGUCUUUAAGGUGAUGUUGCAGCCCCAUGCCAAUCGAGGUGUCAAAGUAGGUCGGCAUGGUGGUCAUCAACCUCAAGAAGCAAUGUCCGGCGAUGCCGAUGCAGGAUGGAGCUUGUGACAUUGUUAAUGUCGGAUUGAUGAAGUGACCAUGCGGUGAUGCCGGCCUCCCGACCAAUGCAAUGCAUGGGGCCAUGAUAUUGUCUUGACG